rnacentral:rRNA from 1 species
AGUCGACGGUAGAGGGGGCAACCCCUCGAGAGUGGCGAACGGGUGAGUAAUAUAUCGGAACGUGCCCAGUCGUGGGGGAUAACGUAGCGAAAGUUACGCUAAUACCGCAUACGAUCUAAGGAUGAAAGCGGGGGAUCGCAAGACCUCGCGCGAUUGGAGCGGCCGAUAUCAGAUUAGGUAGUUGGUGGGGUAAAGGCUCACCAAGCCAACGAUCUGUAGCUGGUCUGAGAGGACGACCAGCCACACUGGAACUGAGACACGGUCCAGACUCCUACGGGAGGCAGCAGUGGGGAAUUUUGGACAAUGGACGCAAGUCUGAUCCAGCCAUUCCGCGUGCAGGAUGAAGGCCCUCGGGUUGUAAACUGCUUUUGUACGGAACGAAAAGGUUUCUAUUAAUACUAGGAGCUCAUGACGGUACCGUAAGAAUAAGCACCGGCUAACUACGUGCCAGCAGCCGCGGUAAUACGUAGGGUGCAAGCGUUAAUCGGAAUUACUGGGCGUAAAGCGUGCGCAGGCGGUUAUAUAAGACAGAUGUGAAAUCCCCGGGCUCAACCUGGGAACUGCAUUUGUGACUGUAUAGCUGGAGUGCGGCAGAGGGGGAUGGAAUUCCGCGUGUAGCAGUGAAAUGCGUAGAUAUGCGGAGGAACACCGAUGGCGAAGGCAAUCCCCUGGGCCUGCACUGACGCUCAUGCACGAAAGCGUGGGGAGCAAACAGGAUUAGAUACCCUGGUAGUCCACGCCCUAAACGAUGU